GAGGACAACUCAGAGUCCAGCAAGGAGGGCUGGGAUUCACACUGAGCACGUGUGUCUGCCCAGGCUUGGGAUGUUUUCUGGGAUGGACUACCUGAAAUUCAUCACAUCGAACACAUCAGGAGUCCUGGUAAGAAGCCUAAACAGCAGGGAAUACAAGCAAGUCUGCAGAGUGGCGUGCCAUAUAAAAUCUCUGGGAGAGAACACUAUACACAUGCUAUGAAGAGAUGCCUCUGGGAGAAAAUGCCAGUGAGCAUCUGGUCUAAGACUCAAGGCUGGAGCCUACAGAAGGUUAAAGACCAACUUACACUACCCACCCUCAGUCAACACAUGCAGCACAAAGUAGUUAGGAAGGUUUUUCCAGUAAACAGCACAAUCUCCAGGUUUACAGUGUGAUCAAACAAACAAGGUGUUAACAAUUUGUUCCCAAAAAAUGAUCUUAAAAGUUUUCAGGUA
rnacentral:lncRNA from 1 species